UACGUAGGGGGCUAGCGUUGUCCGGAAUUAUUGGGCGUAAAGAGCUCGUAGGCGGUCUGUCGCGUCGGAUGUGAAAAUCCAGGGCUCAACCCUGGACCUGCAUUCGAUACGGGCAGACUAGAGUUCGGUAGGGGAGACUGGAAUUCCUGGUGUAGCGGUGAAAUGCGCAGAUAUCAGGAGGAACACCGGUGGCGAAGGCGGGUCUCUGGGCCGAUACUGACGCUGAGGAGCGAAAGCGUGGGGAGCGAACAGG
rnacentral:rRNA from 1 species